GACAUCCGUCGACUUUAGAAAUCGUGAGG
rnacentral:tRNA from 29 species